CCCGGGUGCCGCCCCCGUGUCCUGCCGGCGGACCGGGGCCUGCGGUAACAAAAACCAGCCGGCUGGCCUGACCGUGGGUGCGCCGGCCUCGGUCAGGUGAGAGCGCACCGGGGCUGGCCGUCAGGGAUCCCGCCGCCGGGAGCCCUGAGGUGAGAGCAAAUCGGCGGAUACGCUCGUAGAGGUCCCGGGGGCUGGUGCUUCGGACGCGGGUUCGACUCCCGCCGCCUCCACCA
rnacentral:tmRNA from 1 species